UGAAGCGUUUCUGCCUCGUUCCGCCGGUCCCCCUCUCUAUAAAUCUCAAGAGAGCGAGGAGCGCGAAGGAAAGAGAAUAGGGGUCGGUCGACAGAUCCGGAGAGGGAGGGAUUCUUCCGGUGGAGUUUCUCGUUGCGCAGUGGGGGUGAAGUCCACCGUCCCCCUCCGCUGCAGCAGCGGCGCCCCCGGCCCCCCCCCCCCUCUGUCGGUGCAGGCGGUGGCUACUCGAUCCGAGAGCUUCCGCACCCGCCAGGCCGGCCGCCGCAGUGAGGAAUUCCGUUUCGGUAGUGGUCAGACUGACAUAAGCGUGUUUCCUGCUGUCCGUAGCUCACGGAAGGGACAUUAAAUAAUGGACUCCAGAAGCUGUUAAGUAAAACUAAUGGUUGGAGUAAUUGAUGAGGUGAUAACUCCCGCUGCUCUUGCGGUUCCUGAGACAUCCAACCUUGAAGAUGGGGCAAGGUUCUGAAUACUGGACCAUGUCUUCCGGUUGAAACAAAAUACCAUAGACUUCCAGUCGUCGACGGUGAUGGUAAAUUGGUUGGGAUUAUUACAAGGGGAUUUCGUCGUUAGAGCAGCGCCGCAAAUAAAGCAUGAAAACAAGAAACAUUCUCGAGUCUAAGAUGGAAAUCACGUGGUGGACGUGAGCGCAGGGCGUACGCCGGGUAAGACACGCGGUGGGCGACAUAUGGGUUCUCUGCCCGCGGUACGACUGUGGAGAACAGCGGCGUGGUAAAUGCGCGGUCGGUCACAUGGAGGGAGCGACGAGUCCAUCCCCUCUCAACCGUAAUUUGGUGGCGGCCCUACUCACGUGACGCACGCCCUCGUUCUGCAGCAAUGCAAGCCCUCGUCUCCUCAGCCUAACCAGUUUCGGUUCGCUUUCAAUUCCAGACACCGUCACGGUUGGGACGCCCUCCCCUACUCACGACGUAGACCCGGCCCCACCUUCCUUUGUCCAGGCGCUGCCUUCGUGUCGGGAUCCUCUCCAACGCCGGACGAAGCCAGCCGCGACCUCGACCGUCCACUUCCCCCGUGGAGAGGAUCCCCAGACGUGCAGCAUCGAUCAUGAAGGAGACCGAGGUGACGCAGAUACAGCCCAUCCGUUCAUGACUGGGAGCAACGAGGUGGCGGAGGAGGUUCCACGUGCUGGGAAAGAGGUCCAUGUACGAAAAAUCCCAAGCCAGGCGGCCAUGGGAUGGAUGGAUGGUUCGUCCUUCCUUCUCGGACACCAUACUCUUUGAAGUGUCAUGGCAACCCAACGUUGGUGCCUUUGAAGAGAAACCGGCCGCUUCUUGGUUCCGUGGGAUUCGGCCACUUGCUGCACAUUUAUUGGAGCUGUCCCAUCAUGAAUGCUGCCAUCCUUUUUUUAGUUUGAAGGAAUAGUGAAACGAAACCACAUUAGGUAUUUUAUGUUUGUUCGGUUCAUCCCAUCCUAUAUAAAAUAAUAACAAAUCAGGAUGUUGUAUUCA